UACGUAGGGUGCAGGCGUUAAUCGGAAUUACUGGGCGUAAAGCGUGCGCAGGCGGUUCUGAAAGUCAGCUGUGAAAGCCCCGGGCUUAACCUGGGAAUUGCGGUUGAAACUACAGGGCUAGAAUCUGGCAGAGGGGGGUGGAAUUCCACGUGUAGCAGUGAAAUGCGUAGAGAUGUGGAGGAACACCGAUGGCGAAGGCAGCCCCCUGGGCUGAGAUUGACGCUCAGGCACGAAAGCGUGGGGAGCAAACAGG
rnacentral:rRNA from 1 species